GACUGUUUACCAAAAACAUAGCUCUUGUUGUUAAUCAAAAGUGAAACCUGCCCAGUGGUAGUAAAUUAGUAUUUUUAAUCCGAUACAAAUAUUAUUAAACGGAUGCGGUAACUCUGACUGUAAUAAAGUAGCAUAAUUAGUUGUCAUUUAAUUGAUGGAGGGAAUGAAUGGUUACACGAGCAUUUCAUUGUCUUAAAUAAAAAUCUUUAAAAUUAAAAUAAUAGUGAAGAUGCUAUUUAAAAUCGUAAGACGAAAAGACCCUAUAGAGCUUUACUAUAAUUUUAAAAUAAUAUUGGAUAAAAUUUUUAUUAUUAUUAUUAAGAUUGGUAGUUUAGUUGGGGCGACUAUCUUUUAUACAUAACAAAGAUAAGCAAUUAUUAAUAUAUUAAUUUAUUGUAUAAUUUAUAAAUUUAACAGUUAUAAAAAUAGGCUAUACUGACCCGUUAAACUGAUUAAACCUAUUUAACGAUUAAUAAAUAAAAGCUACCUUAGGGAUAACAGGAUAAUUUUGUUUUAGAGUUCUUAUCAAUUACAAAGUUUGUCACCUCUAUGUUGAAUUGAGAUAUCCUUAUAAUGCAGAAGUUAUAAAAGGUGGGUCUGUUCGACCCUUAAAAUCUUACAUGAUUUGAGUUCAUUCCGU
rnacentral:rRNA from 1 species